rnacentral:rRNA from 1 species
GGAAUAUUGAACAAUGGGGGCAACCCUGAUCCAGCAAUGCCGCGUGUGUGAAGAAGGCCUGCGGGUUGUAAAGCACUUUUAGUAGGGAGGAAGGUCUUGAUGCUAAUAACAUCAAGAAUUGACGUUACCCACAGAAACAGCACCGGCUAACUCUGUGCCAGCAGCCGCGGUAAUACAGAGGGUGCAAGCGUUAAUCGGAAUUACUGGGCGUAAGGGCGCGUAGGUGGUUAUUUAAGUUAGAUGUGAAAUCCCUGGGCUUAACCUAGGAAUUGCAUUUAAAACUGAAUGGCUAGAGUGUGGGAGAGGGAAGUGGAACUUCCAGUGUAGCGGUGAAAUGCGUAGAUAUUGGAAGGAACACCAGUGGCGAAGGCGACUUCCUGGACCACUACUGACACUGAGGCGCGAAAGCGUGGGGAGCGAAC